rnacentral:rRNA from 3 species
GGUUAAGCGACUAAGCGUACACGGUGGAUGCCCUGGCAGUCAGAGGCGAUGAAGGACGUGCUAAUCUGCGAUAAGCGUCGGUAAGGUGAUAUGAACCGUUAUAACCGGCGAUUUCCGAAUGGGGAAACCCAGUGUGUUUCGACACACUAUCAUUAACUGAAUCCAUAGGUUAAUGAGGCGAACCGGGGGAACUGAAACAUCUAAGUACCCCGAGGAAAAGAAAUCAACCGAGAUUCCCCCAGUAGCGGCGAGCGAACGGGGAGCAGCCCAGAGCCUGAAUCAGUGUGUGUGUUAGUGGAAGCGUCUGGAAAGGCGCGCGAUACAGGGUGACAGCCCCGUACACAAAAAUGCACAUGCUGUGAGCUCGAUGAGUAGGGCGGGACACGUGGUAUCCUGUCUGAAUAUGGGGGGACCAUCCUCCAAGGCUAAAUACUCCUGACUGACCGAUAGUGAACCAGUACCGUGAGGGAAAGGCGAAAAGAACCCCGGCGAGGGGAGUGAAAAAGAACCUGAAACCGUGUACGUACAAGCAGUGGGAGCACGCUUAGGCGUGUGACUGCGUACCUUUUGUAUAAUGGGUCAGCGACUUAUAUUCUGUAGCAAGGUUAACCGAAUAGGGGAGCCGAAGGGAAACCGAGUCUUAACUGGGCGUUAAGUUGCAGGGUAUAGACCCGAAACCCGGUGAUCUAGCCAUGGGCAGGUUGAAGGUUGGGUAACACUAACUGGAGGACCGAACCGACUAAUGUUGAAAAAUUAGCGGAUGACUUGUGGCUGGGGGUGAAAGGCCAAUCAAACCGGGAGAUAGCUGGUUCUCCCCGAAAGCUAUUUAGGUAGCGCCUCGUGAAUUCAUCUCCGGGGGUAGAGCACUGUUUCGGCAAGGGGGUCAUCCCGACUUACCAACCCGAUGCAAACUGCGAAUACCGGAGAAUGUUAUCACGGGAGACACACGGCGGGUGCUAACGUCCGUCGUGAAGAGGGAAACAACCCAGACCGCCAGCUAAGGUCCCAAAGUCAUGGUUAAGUGGGAAACGAUGUGGGAAGGCCCAGACAGCCAGGAUGUUGGCUUAGAAGCAGCCAUCAUUUAAAGAAAGCGUAAUAGCUCACUGGUCGAGUCGGCCUGCGCGGAAGAUGUAACGGGGCUAAACCAUGCACCGAAGCUGCGGCAGCGACGCUUAUGCGUUGUUGGGUAGGGGAGCGUUCUGUAAGCCUGCGAAGGUGUGCUGUGAGGCAUGCUGGAGGUAUCAGAAGUGCGAAUGCUGACAUAAGUAACGAUAAAGCGGGUGAAAAGCCCGCUCGCCGGAAGACCAAGGGUUCCUGUCCAACGUUAAUCGGGGCAGGGUGAGUCGACCCCUAAGGCGAGGCCGAAAGGCGUAGUCGAUGGGAAACAGGUUAAUAUUCCUGUACUUGGUGUUACUGCGAAGGGGGGACGGAGAAGGCUAUGUUGGCCGGGCGACGGUUGUCCCGGUUUAAGCGUGUAGGCUGGUUUUCCAGGCAAAUCCGGAAAAUCAAGGCUGAGGCGUGAUGACGAGGCACUACGGUGCUGAAGCAACAAAUGCCCUGCUUCCAGGAAAAGCCUCUAAGCAUCAGGUAACAUCAAAUCGUACCCCAAACCGACACAGGUGGUCAGGUAGAGAAUACCAAGGCGCUUGAGAGAACUCGGGUGAAGGAACUAGGCAAAAUGGUGCCGUAACUUCGGGAGAAGGCACGCUGAUAUGUAGGUGAAGCGACUUGCUCGUGGAGCUGAAAUCAGUCGAAGAUACCAGCUGGCUGCAACUGUUUAUUAAAAACACAGCACUGUGCAAACACGAAAGUGGACGUAUACGGUGUGACGCCUGCCCGGUGCCGGAAGGUUAAUUGAUGGGGUUAGCGCAAGCGAAGCUCUUGAUCGAAGCCCCGGUAAACGGCGGCCGUAACUAUAACGGUCCUAAGGUAGCGAAAUUCCUUGUCGGGUAAGUUCCGACCUGCACGAAUGGCGUAAUGAUGGCCAGGCUGUCUCCACCCGAGACUCAGUGAAAUUGAACUCGCUGUGAAGAUGCAGUGUACCCGCGGCAAGACGGAAAGACCCCGUGAACCUUUACUAUAGCUUGACACUGAACAUUGAGCCUUGAUGUGUAGGAUAGGUGGGAGGCUUUGAAGUGUGGACGCCAGUCUGCAUGGAGCCGACCUUGAAAUACCACCCUUUAAUGUUUGAUGUUCUAACGUUGACCCGUAAUCCGGGUUGCGGACAGUGUCUGGUGGGUAGUUUGACUGGGGCGGUCUCCUCCUAAAGAGUAACGGAGGAGCACGAAGGUUGGCUAAUCCUGGUCGGACAUCAGGAGGUUAGUGCAAUGGCAUAAGCCAGCUUGACUGCGAGCGUGACGGCGCGAGCAGGUGCGAAAGCAGGUCAUAGUGAUCCGGUGGUUCUGAAUGGAAGGGCCAUCGCUCAACGGAUAAAAGGUACUCCGGGGAUAACAGGCUGAUACCGCCCAAGAGUUCAUAUCGACGGCGGUGUUUGGCACCUCGAUGUCGGCUCAUCACAUCCUGGGGCUGAAGUAGGUCCCAAGGGUAUGGCUGUUCGCCAUUUAAAGUGGUACGCGAGCUGGGUUUAGAACGUCGUGAGACAGUUCGGUCCCUAUCUGCCGUGGGCGCUGGAGAACUGAGGGGGGCUGCUCCUAGUACGAGAGGACCGGAGUGGACGCAUCACUGGUGUUCGGGUUGUCAUGCCAAUGGCACUGCCCGGUAGCUAAAUGCGGAAGAGAUAAGUGCUGAAAGCAUCUAAGCACGAAACUUGCCCCGAGAUGAGUUCUCCCUGACCCUUUAAGGGUCCUGAAGGAACGUUGAAGACGACGACGUUGAUAGGCCGGGUGUGUAAGCGCAGCGAUGCGUUGAGCUAACCGGUACUAAUGAACCGUGAGGCUUAACCUU